rnacentral:lncRNA from 1 species
GGGAGAUUCAAAAAGCUUAAGUUUUGGGCUAUAAUUUUGGUAUAUAUAGUUUGUUAUUUGAGUUUUGUAUGAAGAAGUUAAGGCUGUUUGAAGUUAAGGUUGUUUGAAGUUAAGGUGUGAAUUGUUUACUGAUUAUCACUCUUUUAAGCGUAUAGAAAGUUAUAGAAGGUUUUCUAGAAAAUAAAAGGUGUCGUUGAAAAGCUAGUUUGAAGAAAUACAAUUUUUGUAUAAGGGUUAUUAACUUUGAGUUUGUAAUAAGAGAGUUAUGGCUAUUUAAAGUCUAGAUGUGAAAAUUUUACCUACUAUCACUCUUUCAAGCAUACAAAGAGUUAUAGAAAGGCAUUUAGUAAUCGAAAGGUGGAAUUGGAAAGUUGACUUGAAGAACUUUAAUUAUUAUAUAAGAUUUGAUAAAAUCAUAUCUGAAGUGAGGAAGAAACGGCUGGUCGAAGUCAGAGCUUACAAAUUAAGGUAGUAAGUGAAUUGAAUUAUUGAUG